CCGAGUUAGGGUGCUUUUCAGCGCCCGACCUCCCAACCCUGUGUCUAUGUUACCUCUGUUGCUUCGGUGGGCCGGACUCGACCAACUGGUCUUGACCGCCGGGCCUUUGUGCCUGGAGAGCCGCCCGCCGAUGGCCAUAACAUAAACUCUUGAACCUAAAUAUUGUCGUCUGAAUUCAAUAUAUCAAUCAAAAACA
rnacentral:misc_RNA from 1 species